UGGGGAAUAUUGGACAAUGGGCGCAAGCCUGAUCCAGCCAUGCCGCGUGAGCGAUGAAGGCCCUAGGGUUGUAAAGCUCUUUCACCGGUGAAGAUAAUGACGGUAACCGGAGAAGAAGCCCCGGCUAACUUCGUGCCAGCAGCCGCGGUAAUACGAAGGGGGCUAGCGUUGUUCGGAUUUACUGGGCGUAAAGCGCACGUAGGCGGACUAUUAAGUCAGGGGUGAAAUCCCGGGGCUCAACCCCGGAACUGCCUUUGAUACUGGUAAUCUUGAGUUCGUGAGAGGUGAGUGGAAUUCCGAGUGUAUAGGUGAAAUUCGUAGAUAUUCGGAGGAACACCAGUGGCGAAGGCGGCUCACUGGCUCGAUACUCACGCUGAGGUGCGAAAGCGUGGGGAGCAAACAUG
rnacentral:rRNA from 1 species